UUUUCUCCGCCGGCGACCGGCGCACGGGUGAGUAACACGUAUGCCAACCUGCCCCUGUCAGGGGGACAACCCGCCGAAAGGCGGGCUAAACCCGCGUACAUGCCACCGGGGCAUCCCGGAGGCAGGAAAGGCUUCGGCCGGACAGGGAUGGGCAUGCGGCGCAUUAGGCAGUAGGCGGGGUAACGGCCCACCUAACCGACGAUGCGUAGGGGUUCUGAGAGGAAGGUCCCCCACACUGGUACUGAGACACGGACCAGACUCCUACGGGAGGCAGCAG
rnacentral:rRNA from 1 species